CUGAACACUUCAUCUAUACAGACAACUCAGCCCACUUCCCACCCAGAAACCCUAACUUGAAAAAGAAGACCAAGCCGCCAUUUCUUCUUGAAGCACCAAAGAGAACCACCAACAGGAUGUGACCAUCAACAGAAGAAAAAGUUUCAAAGAGACCUUGCAUAAACACAAAGAAAAAGUCUCAAAAGAGACCUUGCACAAACAAAAGCCAUUAGCACAAAUAAUCUUCUAUCAACAAUAGACUUCCUCUCUUUUCCAUAUGAGUUCAUAUCAACAAUUGACUUCCACUAUUUUCCAUACGAGUUGCAAUCCGCUGCCAUGGCAAGGAGAGCAACAUGGAAAAUCUAGGCAUCUCAAUCUCGUUUAGCCUUUAAGAACCAUCUUCAAAUGUGGAGAGACUAUAAACCCUGGAAUUACAACAUUUAACCAUGCAAGAAACCCUCCCAUAAAAACGGCGAUGGCUU
rnacentral:misc_RNA from 1 species